GUCCCUGUAGCGCAAUGGGAAGCGCAUUGGGCUUCUAAUCCAAAGGUCGUGGGUUCAAAUCCUACCAGGGGUG
rnacentral:tRNA from 1 species